UACGGGGGGGGCAAGCGUUGUUCGGAAUUACUGGGCGUAAAGGGCUCGUAGGCGGCCAACUAAGUCAGACGUGAAAUCCCUCGGCUUAACCGGGGAACUGCCUUCGAUACUGGCGAGCUCGAGUUCGGGAGAGGUGAGUGGAACUGCGAGUGUAGAGGUGAAAUUCGUAGAUAUUCGCAAGAACACCAGUGGCGAAGGCGGCUCACUGGCCCGAUACUGACGCUGAGGUGCGAAAGCGUGGGGAGCAAACAGG
rnacentral:rRNA from 1 species